UACGGAGGGUGCAAGCGUUAUCCGGAUUCACUGGGUUUAAAGCGUGCGCAGGCGGUUCUGCAAGUCAGAUGUGAAAUCCCCGGGCUUAACCUGGGAACUGCAUUGGUAGACUGCAUUGCUGGAGUAUGGCAGAGGGGGGUGGAAUUCCACGUGUAGCAGUGAAAUGCGUAGAGAUGUGGAGGAACACCGAUGGCGAAGGCAGCCCCCUGGGCCAAUACUGACGCCUCAUGCACGAAAAGCGUGGGGGAGCAAACAGG
rnacentral:rRNA from 1 species